AUACGUAGGGUGCGAGCGUUAAUCGGAUUUACUGGGCGUAAAGCGUGCGCAGGCGGCUGUGCAAGUCUGAUGUGAAAGCCCCGGGCUUAACCUGGGAGCUGCAUUGGAGACUGCACGACUAGAGUACGUCAGAGGGGGGUGGAAUUCCACGUGUAGCAGUGAAAUGCGUAGAGAUGUGGAGGAAUACCGGUGGCGAAGGCAGCCCCCUGGGAUGAUACUGACGCUUAUGCACGAAAGCGUGGGGAGCAAACAGGAUUAGAUACCCUGGUAGUCCACGCCCUAAACGAUGGCAAUUAGCUGUGGGGGGUUUGAACCCUUGGUAGCGUAGUUAACGCGUAAAGUUGACCGCCUGGGGAGUACGGCCGCAAGGUUAA
rnacentral:rRNA from 1 species